rnacentral:tRNA from 1 species
GUGGCUGUGGCUCAGCUGGUAGAGCACUGGGUUGUGGUCCCGGGGGUCGCGGGUUCGAGUCCCGUCAGUCACC